rnacentral:lncRNA from 1 species
AGACCUGUAAAAUAGAUAUGCUUUGUAACCUUGAUAUAAUAGUAUAUACAUGACUAAAGGAGCGGACAUCGUCGUCGUCGUGAAGAUGCUCUAUCCCGUUUAAAAAAGAGGUGGACUACAAUUACGCCUUUUUUUGGCUCAAACAUAUUAAAUUCAGUACCGUGAUUCUAAGUACAAUUUUACAUCUGCUCUCAGUUCAUAUUUUCCCCUUGUUGUUUUUUCGUUUGUAGGGUCGACGGUGCUGAUUUGUUGUUUUGUCUUCUGUUGUGCGUCUAAUCACUGUGUUUGCUAGAAGGUGAGACUAUGUUUUUCCCAUGCUUUUGACCUACUUGAAUGCCUGUGUGGUCCUGUGUUCAGUUUGUUUGUCAUGCUUCAUAUAUGUCCUCUGUAUUUACAAAUUCGUUGGUGAGGUCAAAAGAUACUUCUGGCGUUGCUUUGUGCAAAUAAAGUUUCCGGCCGUUCUGAUUUAGAGAUUAGAAUUAUGAGUGUGUUGUUGUGGUCGAUUCUUCUGAGUGUGCUAUUCGUGGUUUUAUUGCGUGUGGCAAGAAUUAAUCGUAGAUUCUGAGUCUGAAUGUAGCCGAAAUUUCUGCACAUUGAAAUAGAGAUGCAUGCUUUGUUCCUAUGCCUCAUACAGAAGCUGAAGAAAAAAAUUGUGCACAUUGAAAUAGAGAUGCAGCAUGUUAACAUCAUGUUCUAAACCAUUUUUAGUGGUUGAGACACGAAACAAUUGUUCAGGCUCAUAAGCAAGAAGCUUUUCAUUUAUUUAUUUGUGGUUUGAUGCUUCAUUUGCCACCCAAGUCAGCUAAUACACAGGAACAACCUGUAGUCAGGUACAUGAUUCUCCUCUUAUUCCUCUAUAACUCAAGAGGAUGUGUUCAAGUUUUGUCUGCCAUUUUCAUGGUUGCCAACAUGUGUUUAGUUUCCCAGUUGCAUAGGGAGAUGCUAAUGAUGCCUCCUUUGUGGCAUGAGGGUCAUUUUUUCCUUUCUUUUCACAUAUUUGUUGUUUUAGUAACAAGCAUCUCUGUAGUUGAUUACAAAGUUGUUGUUUCACAUAAUGCCAAAGUGAGAAUGAGUAGCAGCGCAUUUUCAGGUUGAGUUCUAAAAAAAUGAGUACAAGUUGAACGAUACCUCCAUGCAAAGGAGUUGGACCAACAAUGCAAUAAUAUCUCUCCUACUUGGAGAGUUGCUCCUUAUGUGCAGUUCCUCCUAAUUAAUCUAGACUCGGCAGGUGGAGCUCGAGCCGAGGAGCUCAGCCUCGAUCCGGAUGAGGGGAGCAGCAGCCACAUCCCCUUCUUCGCGCACGCCUCCAGUUUAUUUACUUGUGAUGCAUUCAUCUCUCUAGAAAGAGCAUCUUGAGAAGAAGCUCUCGACUAAGAGACAUGAGUUCCUGUUAAUCUAAUGUUCCAUAUGUUUGUUAUACUACUUGGAGCCUUGGACCUUUGGCCUUUUGUCAUUUAUGUUUUUAAUCGAUUCCAUACAACAAUUUAGUCUUGGCUGUCUUAGGUGUAGCCACUAGCGAUACAGUUUCAUCCAAAGUGGUCAAUGAGGCCUUUGUAUUCUCUGAUUUGCAGCAAAGUGGGACUCCCAAGUCUUCAACCAAAAUAGAAAUCGGGAAUGGAGCAAGAGUUCUGUUGGGCAUCCUCUGCAUUUUCCAUAUCAGGUUCCAUUCUUCAUAGUAUGUGUGUAAACAUAGCAAUCCACUUCAGUUCACAAUGUCAUUUAAUACGGGAUGCAUUAGGUACUAUGUUUCCAUUAUGAACUGGUAAUAAUUAAGAGCAUAGUACGGUGACCAUAAUCUGUGUUAUAGCAGAAUGUAGAUGUGGUAUGCUUGUACGAAUAAAAUGCAGAGUUUAGAAAUGAACUAAGAUCGGAGAGCAGGAAGUGAUAGGCUUAUUUUUCAGUUAGAAAGAUAUGUAUACUGUAGCAUCAUAUACUUGUCAGGUUCAUGUUUUAUACAUCAUUUAUACACCCGCAUAAACUAAAGUUUGUUGUUUCAGCAGUAAACAGGGGCACGACUAAGUAAUAUGGGUAGAAAAAUAAGAGCUUAUGAAAAGAAUAGUAUCUCUAUUGCAGAUGUGUGAGAGCACCCCAUUAUCAUGCAAAUAGUACCAGGUUUAGAGCCUUGAUUAUGGUGGAUAUAAACACAAAUAAUCCAUCUUAUAAUUUUGUAUACAAACCACAUUCUGGUGGGAAUUACUCCAAUUAGAAUUCUAGCUGCAGCAUAUAUCUAAUUGGUCCCACAUUGAAAAUCUCAAAUGUUAACCUCUGAAAUACAGUACGCACUUGUCGGUGUGGUGUUGCUCCGUACACACUACCGCAGGAUGCUGCUAACGCGACACUACGAUCAGACGCCCUUCGAG